AAUCAACGCUGGCGGCGUGCCUCAGACAUGCAAGUCGAACGAUUAAAGCUCUCUUCGGAGAGUGCAUAGAGUGGCGCACGGGUGAGUAACACGUAAGUAAUCUACCUUCGAGUGGGGAAUAACGUCCGGAAACGGACGCUAAUACCGCAUAAUGCAGCGGCAUCGCAAGAUGACCGUUGUUAAAGAUUUAUCGCUUGAAGAGGAGCUUGCGGCAGAUUAGCUAGUUGGUAAGGUAAUGGCUUACCAAGGCUACGAUCUGUAACCGGUCUUAGAGGACGGUCGGUCACACUGACACUGAAUAACGGGUCAGACUCCUACGGGAGGCAGCAGUCGGGAAUUUUGGGCAAUGGGCGAAAGCCUGACCCAGCAACGCCGCGUGAAGGAUGAAGUAUUUCGGUAUGUAAACUUCGAAACAAUGGGAAGAAUCAAUGACGGUACCAUUUAUAAGGUCCGGCUAACUACGUGCCAGCCGCCGCCGUAACAC
rnacentral:rRNA from 1 species